rfam:Heligmosomoides polygyrus genome assembly, scaffold: HPBE_scaffold0000130
GCGCCGGUGGUGUAACGGCCUAGAGCAUUCCCGCCCGGUCAGAGGGAGGUGCGGGUUCGAGUCCCGCCUGGCGCU